UUUUAAAUAGUUUAAAAUAAUAAAAUAUAAUAUUGAAGAUAUUAAGAUGAUUUAAAAAUCUUUAAAAA
rnacentral:tRNA from 1 species